rnacentral:rRNA from 1 species
UGGGGAAUUUUGGACAAUGGGGGCAACCCUGAUCCAGCAAUGCCGCGUGUGUGAAGAAGGCCUUCGGGUUGUAAAGCACUUUUGUCCGGAAAGAAAUCGCACUGGUUAAUACCUGGUGUGGAUGACGGUACCGGAAGAAUAAGGACCGGCUAACUACGUGCCAGCAGCCGCGGUAAU